GCCCGGGUGGUGGAACGGUAGACACAGCGGACUUAAAAUCCGCGGCCGCGAGGCGUGCCGGUUCGAGUCCGGCCCCGGGUACCA
rnacentral:tRNA from 1 species